rnacentral:rRNA from 1 species
AGAAGUACACAACUAAGUGAGAGUUUCAACAAUGCAUUGAAGAACCAUUUGAAAUCUGAUUUCCAUAUUGUCCGAUUCUUGAAGCAUUUUGAGAGAACGGUUGAAGUAAAAAGGAGAAAGGAAUUGGAAUCUGAAUAUGAGGCAAGAAAAAAUUUGCCAAGAAUCAAGAUGUGCACACCCAUGUUGGUGCAAGCAAGCAAAGUGUACACUCCAACUAUUUUUGAAGCUUUCCAAAGUGAAUAUGAAAGAUCCAUGGCUGCUUGCACUAGAGUGUUGGAGGAAAAUAACCAAUUUGUUGUUGCUAUUGGGAGGUUGCAUGGUGUUUUGACUUAUGAGGAGGAGGAGGAGCACAUAGUGAUUGGUGAUCCGUUGAACCAAACCGCUUCAUGUAGUUGUCAAAUGUUCAAUAGGGCUGGAAUAUUGUGUGGGCAUAGUUUGAAAGUUCUUGAUUUGAUGAAUGUAAAGACAUUGCCAACACAUUAUCUCCUAAAGAGAUGGACUAGAGAAGCACGCAAUGGAAGUAUACAUGACAUGCAAGGAAGGAAAGUGGUAGAAAAUCCAAAAUUGGAAGCUCAACUUUGGUACAAAGAUAUGUCUCAUAAAUUUCAUGAUAUGACAUAUAAAAUAGCCAACUCUCUCGAAUGUCGUUUGAUGCUAGAAGAUGCACUUGCUUGUCUUUGGCCACAACUAGAGGAUAAACUCAAUGCAUCAGCCACCGGUGCUACUGAUGCAUGUUCC